GACGAACGCUGGCGGCGUGCUUAACACAUGCAAGUCGAACGGAAAGGCCCUGCUUUUGUAGGGUGCUCGAGUGGCGAACGGGUGAGUAACACGUGAGUAACCUGCCCUUGACUUUGGGAUAACUUCAGGAAACUGGGGCUAAUACCGGAUAGGAGCUCCUGCUGCAUGGUGGGGGUUGGAAAGUUUCGGCGGUUGGGGAUGGACUCGCGGCUUAUCAGCUUGUUGGUGGGGUAGUGGCUUACCAAGGCUUUGACGGGUAGCCGGCCUGAGAGGGUGACCGGCCACAUUGGGACUGAGAUACGGCCCAAACUCCUACGGGAGGCAGCAGUGGGGAAUAUUGCACAAUGGGCGGAAGCCUGAUGCAGCAACGCCGCGUGCGGGAUGACGGCCUUCGGGUUGUAAACCGCUUUCGCCUGUGACGAAGCGUGAGUGACGGUAAUGGGUAAAGAAGCACCGGCUAACUACGUG
rnacentral:rRNA from 1 species